rnacentral:rRNA from 1 species
AUUGAACGCUGGCGGCAGGCCUAACACAUGCAAGUCGAGCGGAGCGGCGGACGGGUGCGUCAUACCUAGGAAUCUGCCUGGUAGUGGGGGAUAACGUCCGGAAACGGGCGCUAAUACCGCAUCCUAUCAGAUGAGCCUCGGUCGGAUUAGCUAGUUGGUGGGGUAAAGGCCUACCAAGGCGACGAUCCGUAACUGCUCUGCGAGGAUGAUCAGUCCCACUGGAACUGAGACACGGUCCAGACUCCUAAGGGAGGCAGCAGGGGGGAAUAUUGGACAAUGGGCGAAAGCCUGAUCCAGCCAUGCCGCGUGGGUGAAGAAGGUCUGCGGAUUGUAAAGCACUUUAAGUUGGGAGGCGUUACCAACAGAAUAAGCACCGGCUAACUUCGUGCCAGCAGCCGCGGUAAUUC